UCCUUCACUCCCGGGGGGACGGGGAUCCCGCGGCUCCAAAACAAAUCGCAAUUUAUCUCCUGAGCCGAGGGAGGCGAACAAAUUAUGGCCUGGAUUGUUGGCUUCCCAUUUAUAGAUCGAGGACGGUGUGGCCCGAAAACCUUUUGGCAAUUAAUGAUGGAAAGGUGGAAGGAGGCUCUCCAAGGCGCGGGGCCUUUUCCUUUUGUCCCGGGUGGUCCUGUCCCGUCCGUCUGCCAUGC
rnacentral:lncRNA from 1 species